UUUCUGGGACUUUGAUUUUACCGGGCUAAAGAGGACAGUGUGUGAAAGAAAUGGCUGAGAGGCAGUUGGACUGUGCGGAUCUGGUUCUGUUGCCCGCUCAGAGUGGGAACUCGAAGGGCCCGGAGAAUGAGAUGUAUGUGAGGUGUGCGUGCGUGCGUGCGUGCGUGCGUGCGUGCGUGCGUGCGUGCGUGCGUGCGUGCGUGUGCGCGCGCAGGCGUGGUAACAGAGAGGAUGGCUAAAAGGGAGACAGCCAGGAGAGGGCGGCAUGUGGACCUCUUGGCAGAGGAGCAGCCGGAGUGAGUGGAUUCCGCCUCGUGGGGACCGGUAGCCGCCGAUCCAUUUUAAUUUUUACCGCAACAAAUUAUGAGCCUAAAACAUGCUCCAAAAGGGACAUUCUGUGGAGGUUUGAGCUUUAGAAGUUAAAGGAAGCGCUACAGAAGAGGACUGUCACAUUGAAUAUUUUUACAUGCAUGGGAUUGCAAAAAAAAAAAAAAUUCAAACUACCUGAUUACAUACAGAAGAUGGGUGUUGCAUAGAUUCCAGAAGAGCAAAGUGAUGCUACACCAACACAAAGCCCAAAAACCAACAAUAAGGACAGCCUACAGAGUGUCACAACCAUAAGAGUGUGACAGGUAGAGUCUCCCAGCCCAAGUCUACUUUCAAGGACUUGGCCCUUGGCUCUCCUUAGCUACUUUGACCCUGAGGAGGGUGGUCAUCGGGAAUGUUGAAUAAUGAAUAAAGCAGGUGUCUUAGCUGCUUUUAUUAAUGAA